rnacentral:rRNA from 1 species
CCUACGGGGGGCUGCAGUGGGGAAUAUUGGACAAUGGGGGGAACCCUGAUCCAGCCAUGCCGCGUGUGUGAAGAAGGCCCUCGGGUUGUAAAGCACUUUCAGUGAGGAAGAACGCCUGGUGGUUAAUACCCAUCAGGAAAGACAUCACUCACAGAAGAAGCACCGGCUAACUCCGUGCCAGCAGCCGCGGUAAUACGGAGGGUGCGAGCGUUAAUCGGAAUUACUGGGCGUAAAGCGCGCGUAGGUGGCUUGAUAAGCCGGUUGUGAAAGCCCCGGGCUCAACCUGGGAACGGCAUCCGGAACUGUCAAGCUAGAGUGCAGGAGAGGAAGGUAGAAUUCCCGGUGUAGCGGUGAAAUGCGUAGGGAUCGGGAGGAAUACCAGUGGCGAAGGCGGCCUUCUGGACUGACACUGACACUGAGGUGCGAAAGCGUGGGUAGCAAACAGGAUUAGAUACCCUUGUAGUC